AACGAACGCUGGCGGCAUGCCUAACACAUGCAAGUCGAACGAAAGCUUCGGCCUUAGUGGCGCAGUGGUGCGUAACGCGGGGGAAUGUGCCCUUUGGUUCGGCAUAACAGCUGGAAACGGCUGGUAAUACCGGAGGAUGACGAAAUUCCAAAGAUUUGUCGCCAGAGGAUGAGCGCGCGUUGGAUUAGGUAGUUGGUGGGGUAAAGGCCUGCCUAGCCGACGAUUCAUAGCUUGGCUGGGAGGAUGAUCAGCCACACUGGGACUGGGAGAGGGCCCGGGAUGCUACGGGAGGAAGCAGUGGGGAAUAUUAGCCGCUGGGCGCAAGCCUGGUCCAGCAAUGCCGCGUGAGUGAUGAAGGCUUUAGGGUUGUAAAGGUCUUUUACGCGGGAAGAUAAUGAAGGUACCGGGAGAAUAAGCCCCGGCUAACUCCGUG
rnacentral:rRNA from 1 species